rnacentral:rRNA from 1 species
AACGAACGCUGGCGGCGUGGAUAAGACAUGCAAGUCGAACGGGACCAGGUUUGUAGCAAUACAGGUUUGGUUCAGUGGCGCACGGGUGCGUAACACGUGAGCAAUCUGCCGGGAAGUGGGGGAUAGCUCGCCGAAAGGCGAAUUAAUACCGCAUAUGGCCAUCCUUUGAUUAAAGGAAAAGCCAAAGCAGCAAUGCGCUUCCUGAUGAGCUCGCGGCCUAUCAGCUAGAUGGCGGGGUAACAGCCCACCAUGGCUUUGACGGGUAGCUGGUCUGAGAGGACGACCAGCCACACUGGAACUGAGAUACGGUCCAGACACCUACGGGUGGCAGCAGUCGAGAAUUUUUCACAAUGGGGGCAACCCUGAUGGAGCGACGCCGCGUGGAGGAUGAAGGCCUUCGGGUUGUAAACUCCUGUCAUGCGGGAACAAGUCAGUGAUAGUACCGCAAGAGGAAGAGACGGCUAACUCUGUGCCAGCAGCCGCGGUAAUACAGAGGUCUCAAGCGUUGUUCGGAUUCAUUGGGCGUAAAGGGUGCGUAGGUGGUGACGCAAGUCUGGUGUGAAAUCUCGGAGCUUAACUCCGAAAUUGCACCGGAUACUGCGUAACUCGAGGACUGUAGAGGAGAUCGGAAUUCACGGUGUAGCAGUGAAAUGCGUAGAUAUCGUGAGGAAGACCAGUUGCGAAGGCGGAUCUCUGGGCAGUUCCUGACACUGAGGCACGAAGGCCAGGGGAGCAAACGGGAUUAGAUACCCCGGUAGUCCUGGCAGUAAACGGUGCACGUUUGGUGUGGGCGGGUUCAGACCCCGUCCGUGCCGGAGCUAACGCGUUAAACGUGCCGCCUGGGAAGUACGGUCGCAAGAUUAAAACUCAAAGAAAUUGACGGGGGCCCGCACAAGCGGUGGAGUAUGUGGCUUAAUUCGAUGCAACGCGAAGAACCUUACCUGGCCUUGACAUGCAUUGUGUCCCCGGUGAAAGCCGGGUAGCUGGUAGCAAUAUCAGCGCCUUGCACAGGUGCUGCAUGGC